rnacentral:rRNA from 1 species
UACGGAGGGGGGCUAGCGUUGUUCGGAAUUACUGGGCGUAAAGCGCACGUAGGCGGCUUUGUAAGUUAGAGGUGAAAGCCCCAGGGCUUAACCCUGGAAUUGCCUUUAAGACUGCAUCGCUAGAAUCGUGGAGAGGUGAGUGGAAUUCCGAGUGUAGAGGUGAAAUUCGUAGAUAUUCGGAAGAACACCAGUGGCGAAGGCGACUCACUGGACACGUAUUGACGCUGAGGUGCGAAAGCGUGGGGAGCAAACAGG